UUUAUUUUGAUCUGAAAGAAUAAGUAAGUUCUUAGUUAGUCUACUUCUGCUGAAGGAAAUACGGAUAAUAAGGUGAUACGUAAUUUCUGUUUAAAGAUGCAUUUGUACCUAAAGAUCUACCCAGAGCCAGGUUUCCAGAAACAUAGCUGGGAAAGGCAAUUCCACACUGGAGUUCCAGGUCAACUUUCUCCCUAAAAGGAGUGUACACAUCUAGUACAACUGGUAACUGGCACACACCCUACAUGUGCUGUGAUCUGUGAGCCUCAUAAAACUGAAACAGGAUGGCUGCACAGGUAAUCCUGUCAGCCAUACACUCACCAUGGGAGCUGGCCAUGGAGCAAAGCCUUCUCCAGGUAGGCAAGCCAUUCAACAGGACAUGGACUCCUGGGAAGGCAGGUCAAAACUCCCCUGCUAGUCAGGAGCACUGAGCAAAGCUCAGAAGCACAUUGUUAAAAACAGUGCAAGAGUAUGAGUUCUUUUGAGAUAGUGUAAUCAAACCAGUAAGUGUUCAAAUUUAAAUAUUAGCACCUAGUUUGUCCACUGAGAGCAUAGAUAUGCCUCUGAGAACACAGAGAGUUAAAAGCUGUGAACUUCCACGGGAAGCUCUCUUAAGUUCCAGUUCGUAAAGACAGCAAACCUCCCCUAACCAGCUCCAAGCUGGGCGGGGGGAGGGGAGGCCAUGCAGCCAGAAGAAGAAAGCCAAGCCGGAGACAGAAAGAAAGAAGCUUCUGCGAGAUCGAAGAAUAGAAGAGCACCGCAAAGCUUCAAGCAGCCAUCCCCCCACCCCUCCCCCGGAGGGAGAGAGAGAAAGAAAACCUGUACCUGUGAUAGCGCAGCCAGCGUGAAAGAAAAAGAAGAGUGCCCAGCAGAGCAGCCAGCCAGAAGAGUUCAUAAACCAGCAGAACCUGAGACUUUUAACCCUUCUUGUAAAUGAUAAAAACCUUGCAAGUGCUAAUUCAUCCUAGAGUUGAUGAAAUAGAAUUUGAAAUAGCAGAAAACGAACAAGUGUGAUACAAGUUCGUACAAGUGAAAAAUGUUGAAAAAAGCUGAGAAGAAUCCUAAGUGAAAAGAGAUAAUAGAGUAACCUUUAACUAGACUUUUCUUGUAUAGCCAUAAGCAAAACCACUUGUGUUCCUGUAACACAGAGACUUCAUUUAAAAAGAAACAAUAGCUCAGAGCCAAAAGAGUACAGUAAUGUAAAAGAGUGCAUAAACAGAGAUGACAAGUGAAAAAAGUAAAUGCCCUCCAUCUUCAGAGAAGAAGAAAAAAAUAAUCUCUGUUCAAGAAACCCCUCAGCCCCAAAGAGUGAAAUUUGAGAGAGACAAGUGUCCCAAAAGAGAGGGACUAUACUCUUUUUAAAACUAGACAAAGCAUCCUUAAAAAAAAAAAAACCCAGAAGCAACUCUAGUCCAUGUGCAUUAGUGAGAGCACUAGACACAGAAAAAAAAAUAUCACAAUAGCAAAUGUUCUCUGGGCAGUGCCACAUGUGACAUAAAAACACAAAAAAUUUUGACUGUUUCCUGAAAAAGUCUGUAGUGCAAGAAAAACUCCUCUCUUCUCAAAAAAUUAAAAAUUAAUUAUCUGAAGAGUAGUAAUAGACCGAGAGUGAGUAAUCUAAAAAAUAAUAACUGAAUUAAAAAUCCAAAGUUUUGUUUUACUUAAUGUAUUAGAAAUCUAAUAAGAGAAAGAAAAAAUUUUAAAAGUUUUCAUCCUGUGUAUAGUCCUAAGUUAAUACCAAGUUAAUAAGUUUUUUUUUCCUUUCAUUCUUAAACUAAAAUCUGCUCUGCUCUGUCUCUAAUCAUAUCUCACAGUAAAUACCAAAAAAAAAGUAUUUUCAUAAAAGCACUAGCAUUGCACCAAGCUCAAACCGUAACAACCCCACAAUUUUCUUCUACUUUUUUUUUUUCCUGUCUUUUUUUCUUUGUUUAAAAGGUAAGAUUCUUGAUUUCUGCACUGUAACAUUGCAGGGAAUUGAAGUACUUAAUACUGUAUUUGCAGUAGGGUUGAAAAGGGAAUUAGCAUUUCACUGGCACUAGAAAUACAUCACUAAAAAUGAUUACUGGUCAAGAUUGUGGUUAGCAUGACCCUGAUGUGAUAUGAUUUGAAAACGGGAAGCUUUUGGACUAUAUGCAAGCAAAUCGUACAAAUACUAAAUUUAGUUUCUCCACUUGCAGGUUUUGGACAGGCAGUUGAACUAGAAAAGAGGCCUUUAGAGUUUUCAAGCUGAACACAAAACACCCCUGGUUUAUCUGCUGCAGGCUGUCAAAGCCCUGCUUUCCCUUUGAGAAAAGGUCCAGUAGAAACCCAGAAUGGAAUUUGGACACAGCGAUCAAAAGUUCUAAGUCUGGAGGCAUAACUGAUGCUGACCUUACCACGAAGUGUCCAGCUAGGAUCUUUUUCUUCUGGCAGAGGGAGUUUUUCACAGGAAGCAUUUUGCUGCUGUUUCCAUGCCUUGGAAAGGCAGUCAGAGAUGCUGCUUUUUCAUAGUUAGGUCCUCAGUUUGGUCAGUUAUGAAUAAAAUAAAAAAAUAGAAGCUAAUCUGGCUAAAAAGAGAAUGGCAUUUUUCUCCAGUGCUUAUGGCUCUCAGGAGCAGGCAGAAUAAACUUGGGUGAUCCUGUCUCUUCAUAGGAAAGUCAGAUUUCAGGCUUCAGCAAUAAUUCUCUAUCUUUUCACUCAUUAAUCAUUAAUAUCAGAUGAUAUUAAUGCACUAAACUGAAAAUAUUCAAACAUAAAAUUUUGAUGAUCUAAAUCCUGUUAAUAAUUUCAGAGAGAAUAGUAUGCUUGCUAGAGAACAGAGUUUGUCAUUUUCAUAUAUAAUGCAGUGUCUUCUCAUUAACAAUUUUUCAUGGUUUUAUUUGAAAAAACCUUUUCUGUCAGGAUAAAAAAUGACUUGAAUACAAGUCAGCAUUUAGAAGUUUUUCUCAGUGUGCUGGAAAUAGAAGAUUGCUGUGUGUACUGUGACAGUGAAAUGGGGGUUGUUUAUGUUUGAUUUUAGUGUGAUGCUCCCAAUGAUAGUUUAUGUUCCACAAAUCCAAAUGUGCAUUGGAACUCAGAAUGUGUAUUUUGUAUUUCUGUAGGAAAAGAAAACCCUCAAAGAACUUUCAAUUUGAAAUAUUGGCACAGUUGUGCUCACAGAUGAAUUAGUAACAGUGGGAGCAUAUGGAGUGAAAUAGAAAUUAGAAAUGAUGGAAGUUCAUGCAAGACCUUAUUGCUGGGCUUUCAGUUUGUCAGUUUCCUUGGGAGCUCCACACCAAGUCAUCUGCAGGUUACUUUGGCCAACAGUACUUGCUACACUCUCAAGGCAACCAUAUGUAACAAGCCCAAUUUUCUGUGCUCAUUUGUAAUUGUGGUUUUGUGUCAACAAAAAUACUCACACUCUUACUCAGGAGGUAUCAAAGAUGGAGGAAGGAUCAAAGAUGGUGGCUGCAAGGGAAACUGAGAAAGAAAGUAUUUUUGUGAUUUUUAAACUGACCAAAAGACCAGGUUGGUGCUGAAAGACAUCACAAUGCCAUGCAGCAGGUGAGUGGUAAGGAUGCAUCCCAGGAUGUGCUGGGGCUGCUCCUUUCCUUCCGAUGGCAAAACAGCAAGCUCCUUGACAUAAGGAGCUUCUCCACCUGCACAGAAGCAGCAGCUCCCUGAAACUGCUGAAUCCCAGGUUCCCUGGGAAUGGCUGCAUGGCCCAGCACCUGCAGCUCAGAAUGAGGUGUCCCUGAGCACCAGCAACAUGCAGGGCUGGGCUAGCCAUGAAAAAUGAAUGCUUUUGAGGUAAUAACACUUUAAAUCUUUCUGUUGGGCUGUUUAAAAAAAACCCACAAAACCACGAAAAUUUUCAAAGCCAUGCCACAGAUGGAGAUGACAAACCUUAGUUCUCCUAUGGACUGAACACAGGCA